rnacentral:rRNA from 1 species
GUCCACGCCGUAAACGAUGAUCACUCGGAUGGUUGGCGAUACACUGUCAGCGUCUAAGCGAAAGCAUUAAGUGAUCCACCUGGGGAGUACGGCCGCAAGGUUGAAACUCAAAGGAAUUGACGGGGGGCCCGCACAAGCGGAGGAGCAUGUGGUUUAAUUCGAUGAUACGCGAGGAACCUUACCUGGGCUAGAACGCAAGAUGGCAGUCCCGGAAACGGGAUCUUCCUUCGGGACAUUUUGCGAGGUGCUGCAUGGUUGUCGU